rnacentral:sRNA from 1 species
GGGAAUCACAGGGUAGAGAUCUGGAGACCGAGGGGAGCUCUGGGAGAGGCUUGGGCAGGUUGGGAGAAGCCUUGUGGGAGACAUGGGGCCUGACACAACUUCUACCCUCCAGUAACAGUGUGAAGAAAUCCCAGCCAGACUUGCCCAUCUCCAAGAUUGACCAGUGGCUGGAACAAUACACCCAGGCCAUCGAGACCGCUGGCCGGACCCCCAAGCUAGCCCGCCAGGCCUCCAUAGAGCUGCCCAGCAUGGCUGUGGCCAGUACCAAGAGUCGGUGGGAGACGGGUGAGGUACAGGCUCAGUCUGCGGCCAAGACUCCGUCCUGCAAGGAUAUUGUGGCUGGAGACAUGAGCAAGAAAAGCCUCUGGGAGCAGAAGGGAGGCUCCAAGACCUCAUCAACAAUUAAGAGCACCCCAUCUGGGAAGAGGUAUAAGUU